GACGAACGCUGGCGGCGUGCUUAACACAUGCAAGUCGAACGGAAAGGCCCUGCUUUUGUGGGGUGCUCGAGUGGCGAACGGGUGAGUAACACGUGAGUAACCUGCCCUUGACUUUGGGAUAACUUCAGGAAACUGGGGCUAAUACAGGAUAGGAGCUCCUGCUGCAUGGGGGGGGUUGGAAAGUUUCGGCGGAUGGGGAUGGACUCGCGGCUUAUCAGCUUGUGGGUGGGGUAGUGGCUUACCAAGGCUUGGGCGGGUCGCCGGCCUGGGAGGGUGACCGGCCACAUUGGGACUAAGAUACGGCCCAGUCUCCUACGGGAGGCAGCAGUGGGGAAUAUGGCACAAUGGGCGGAAGCCUGAUGCAGCAACGCCGCGUGCGGGAUGACGGCCUUCGGGUUGUAAACCGCUUUCGCCUGUGACGAAGCGUGAUUGACGGUAAUGGGUAAAGAAGCACCGGCUAACUACGUG
rnacentral:rRNA from 1 species